UGCAUGUCCACCGUCACAGUCGGGACAGUGGAGUGUGCCAUUACAGUUGUUGAAUUCGUGUUCGUGUUCGCCACACUUUGCACAGUAGCUACGCCAGCCACCCACCACCGAGCCCAACAAGGGGACGCCACGAGUCCGGGAGGAAACGCAGACGCCAGCUAUGCGAGUCAAGAACGACGCCAAGACAUGUGGUCGUAUCAGAUAGAUAAUUAUGCGGUUUCACACAAUUCCGCAUGCCCCGGACAUUAUAUCUAGGGGUACUGACCCCCUGGAUUAACACCAUGGGUACUUGAAUCGAUUGUCUUCAAGGUUUGUGACGACAAAUCGAUGACAUCUGAAAGCGUCUUAUGGGUUCCAAAG